ACCUGCGGAAGGAUCAUUAUAGAAAAUGACGUGAACUCUUAACGGAGUUCUCUCAAAGUGUUGGAGGGGAAGGCCUGCGCUUAAUUGCGCGGCUGUUUUUAAUCUCCUCCGCCUUUGAUACACACAUUGGAGUUUCUACUUUUUUGUUCUCUUUGGGAGGGUUCUGCUCUCCCAGAGGUAAACACAAACAAUCUUUUAUUAUACUAUUAACACAGUCAAAUGAAUUUUAAAAACAAAAUAUUCAAAACUUUCAACAACGGAUCUCUUGGUUCUCGCAUCGAUGAAGAACGCAGCGAACUGCGAUACGUAAUGUGAAUUGCAGAAUUCCGUGAAUCAUCGAAUCUUUGAACGCACAUUGCGCCCCUUGGUAUUCCGGGGGGCAUGCCUGUUUGAGCGUCAUUUCCCUCUCAAACUUUACGUUUGGUAGUGAGCGAUACUCUACUCUGGAGUUUGCUUGAAAAUGGGAGGCCAUAGGCGAAGCAUUGCUUUCCAAUCCUGCGGCCCUCUGCUUACUUCCCCUUGUGGGUUGUGGCAGGGGAAAGCGGGAGGCGCCUUGCCACGAUAGUCGUAUUAGGUUUUACCGACUCGGCGAAAGUGAAGAGGUUUGCUUUUUAAAAAGAAGCAGGCAGCGUCUGGCUUGACAAAAUUCUCAAAGUUUGACCUCAAAUCAGGUAGGAUUACCCGCUGAACUUAAGCAUAUCAAUAAACGGAGGAAAAGAC
rnacentral:rRNA from 1 species